GAGGAGGACCUUGGUGCUUUCAGUUUUAACUCUUCACCAAUAGUGGAAAAGGCAGAAUGCCUAAGCUGCGGCUCUGUGGCCAAUAGGAUGGCUGUGUGUCUCUCACGUGACCGCCUGCCCCUGCCUUUCGCAUGGGCUCUAAUUUAGUUCAAUUCAGAACUGCAGAUAGUACGGUUUCCACAGGAGCAGGGAUGCCUGAGCACAAGUGGCUGAGUUCCGAGGGACUUUAGGAAAUGCUUGUCUGGCUUCCUGGGCGUGCAAGCGGGAGUCUGCACCUGUACCACAGCCAGGCUGGAGAGAAGCUCCUGCUCUGCCUGCAGGGACGAGGGACGACAGCAAGAAGCGGCUUUUGGAAAUUGCUCUGGACACAGGACCAAGAAAUCCAGGGAGAAGACUAAAGGCGGCUGCGUCUCUAUGUUCAAUAGCAACCCAGUAGGAACCACAGGAACGUGCAGGCCUCUGAAGAACAGAAAGAGUAAAGUAACCCCCGACAGCACCAAAAAGACAAACAAACAAGCAAAACAAAACAAAACAACAACAAAAAAACGAACAACCAAAACCCUCAACAAACAACAAAACCUUUGUUAAGUGGACAGACAGACUGGAACUGGAGGGUUGUAUGGAAGAGGGGUAAAAUGAAGGAGAAGGCUAUAAUUUCUAAGUCUGUGGUGACAAGAAAAUCAGCUCCUGGAGUCAGACAGAAGACAUGGCUGGAGUCUAAGGCCUGGAGGGGAGACUGGCCAGUCUGUGGUAAGUGGCGCACCGCUUUUCAGGACGUGUUAUGUGGUAUGAUGGGAAGCCCUCACCGAACGCUUUCUCCAGUUAGUGCCAUGUCCCCACACCUGAGACCCACUUCCCAGUCAAUUGUUUCCCAGUCUUUGACAGUUCUACAUUUAAUUUUCCUUUCUUGUAUUUCGUUAUGUUAAAGGAAAACAAAGCAAAGCAAUAGCGAUCAGGCCCCUGAUUCCUGUUCCAUGCUGAGAACUCCUAGAGAGAAAAAAAAAAAAAAAAAAAAACAGCAAAGAAAGACCAUGUUUCCAAAAGAGAUGCUGCAUCUAAAGCAUCCUCAGUGGACCAGAGGUCCAUGUACUGUCUCUGUUGGGGUUGUAGAUUUUUGUUUCCAGACCUUCCUCAUUAACACACGGAUUUUUAAAGUGAUCAAGUUCAGAGAGACCUGUCUAGUCUGUGUAUUCACCAAGCACUUGAGAUUUUUAGUCCACUGUUUAGCUUUGUUCUUAUUUUCAUUGAAUUUAACAGAAUUAUAGAAAUGAUAGAAAGUGCAGGAAUUGUACAAUGUGAAUCAAAUCAGGUGGCACGUGGGAAGUCUUCCAAGCCACAGGACUGGCGGGAAGUGCCAUUGGUUGAGUUACAGGCUUGCCUAUGUAUACGCCAAGAAAACACACACUCAGAGUUGCGUUGUAGAAAUGUUUAAGGAGCAAUAGAGCUAUCCAAAUGCACACUUACAGCAAACCGGAAUUAUCGUCCAACAUGGACAAGAAUGCGUUUCAAGUUGCCAGAGGAUAUUGUUCACACGGCAAACUGACUUCAAUCAUAAAUCUUCUGAUAUCUGUUUUUAUAUGAAGCAGGACAAAAUUCUGCUAGUAAUCAAAUAUUUUCUUUAGACACGUGCAAUUUCCUUUUGGCCUUUAUGUAUUUUUAUGAGUUUUUGCUCACAGUCCUGUAGUUUUGACUGCACAGGAGGAGGCCCAGAAGAAAAGAAGGUAAGUAAGUGUGUAAGUUGGUUUAUGCCUUUGGGAAUGUGUUCCUGGUUUCCAGAAUCAUAGUUUCUAUGGGAUGAAAGUCCACUUUCUCAAUUAUGAGUAUGGAACUGUUAGCUGUAGGAUCAAGGAGGAAAAGCAUGAAGAUGGACCAAUACAUCCUCUCAUUUGAAGAAUUGGCAGAAUCUGUAAAAGAUACAGUUUAUUCUGGAAGACUUGAUUGGAAUAAUGUUUUAUAAUGAGAUGUUAAACACAGCAAUAAAUAUCUAUGCACAUUAAAUUUACGACACUUUUUUGCUGAUUUUUGAGACAAGGUCUUAUUCUGUAGCCUAGACUGGCCU